rnacentral:rRNA from 1 species
AUACGGAGGGUGCGAGCGUUAAUCGGAAUUACUGGGCGUAAAGCGUACGUAGGCGGUUGGAUAAGUUAGAUGUGAAAGCCCCGGGCUUAACCUGGGAACUGCAUUUAAAACUGGCGAACUAGAGUUGAGUAGAGGGGAGUGGAAUUUCAGGUGUAGCGGUGAAAUGCGUAGAGAUCUGAAGGGACACCAGUGGCGAAGGCGACUCCCUGGACUCGAACUGACGCUGAGGUACGAAAGCGUGGGUAGCAAACGGGAUUAGAAACCCUAGUGUCC